GAGAGGUGUUUAGAACACUAAGAACUGCUAAUUC
rnacentral:tRNA from 1 species